AUUACAUACCCUGUUUAUGACAAGAAGCUUGAAAAACCAUACCCUGUUCAGCGGAUCAUCCCCGUAUAGUCCAUAUAUUGGAGUACCCCCCCGGGAUCCGUAUGUAAUCCUGAGACAGAAAUGCAAGCUUAAGUAUUACCGCGACCUUGAGUACCAUUAAAGAGAUGAUUAUCUUCUAGCAAGAAGAAGAACAAUAGCAAACUAUUCCAUUCACCUUAAUGAUCUAUACCAAGAACCAAUAAAAAUCGGAUACAUCAACAAGUCGAAGCUUACGGAUGGAACAGUUGUCACGUGCACCGGUAGAGUUAAACCUUUUUUUUUUUUUGGUCUAAAACAUGGACUGAACUGGACACGAGAAAACAUGGAGGGAGCGGACGUAAAAAACAUGGACCGUGGUAGAAAAUAUGGACUCGGGGUCAGACGCAUCUGGAUACCUUAUCUUAAGGUGAUUGGCGACAUCUUUAAAGUGACUGUAACGUGCCGCAUGCUGUCAUUGGAGACCGCUCUCGGCAGAAGCUUGGGGAUCCUUAUUCUACUCUACUCUGCUGAACUGAUUACAUGAGCUGUAUCUAUAAUGAUCCUAUGACAGGUGUCAAUCUCUAAUCAAUGUGAUACAAUCGUCGAAUCAUGAUUGGCUAAAAGAAUAAGUAAAUUCCUAAGUGCGAUAUUCUAACGACGAGUAAUUCGAGUGAAAAUCUAAGAAUUAAGCAUAGCUAAAAUUAAAGCUAAUAUAUGAAUAUAUUGUAAAUGUAUAGAAAAGGUUACAAGGAACAUUUCUAUCAUAAGACUCUAAAGGAUAAUUCUAAAAUAACUGAACAAAGGGGUAAAAACUUUGUAGGGCGAUAAUUCUAAAAUAACUGAACAAAGGGGUAAAAACUUUGUAGGGCGUAACCAGAGGUACAAAUGCUAAAUUUGAGGAGCUAAGAGGUUUACUUAUGAAUUCAAUUGAAUUCCUUGAGAUAAGCAGUGGUAAUUAGAAAACUGAUGUCGUGCUUAAUUAGUCUUUGAAAACAUUAAUUUUCUCUCUCAUAACAAUACUCUCUAUUUUAACGAUGUUGUUGCUCAACUAAAUCAGCUUCUUAGGCCCAGUUCAGACAACGAAACUCAGCUCAAACAAUAGGUCUUGACAUUUGCAAUAAUUUCGACACAUGAAAUUCGAUGUCUAAACCAUUUGAAUAACAUAUUCAUAAUCAAAGGUCUUCAAAAUUACUCCUUGUCUCAACCGUUAGAAUAGCAUAUUCCCCCGUCAAGGUCUUCAAAAAUACUCUUCUGAAAAUACUAGUAGGCCUCCCUUUUUGAUUAGUAAGAAAUUGACUCUCCCAUUUAAAUGAGGAAUAAUAACUCU